rnacentral:sRNA from 1 species
UAGCCAAAAUUGUUGGUAGCCUUUUUUGU